UGAACGCUGGCGGCGUGCCUAAUACAUGCACGUCGAGCGAACAGAUGAGGAGCUUGCUCCUCUGACGUUAGCGGCGGACGGGUGAGUAACACGUGGAUAACCUACCUAUAAGACUGGGAUAACUUCGGGAAACCGGAGCUAAUACCGGAUAAUAUAUUGAACCGCAUGGUUCAAUAGUGAAAGACGGUUUUGCUGUCACUUAUAGAUGGAUCCGCGCCGCAUUAGCUAGUUGGUAAGGUAACGGCUUACCAAGGCAACGAUGCGUAGCCGACCUGAGAGGGUGAUCGGCCACACUGGAACUGAGACACGGUCCAAACUCCUACGGGAGGCAGCAGUAGGGAAUCUUCCGCAAUGGGCGAAAGCCUGACGGAGCAACGCCGCGUGAGUGAUGAAGGUCUUCGGAUCGUAAAACUCUGUUAUUAGGGAAGAACAAAUGUGUAAGUAACUAUGCACGUCUUGACGGUACCUAAUCAGAAAGCCACGGCUAACUACGUG
rnacentral:rRNA from 1 species